AUUCAAACAUUCAUUUCAGAAAAUCUGUUUUGGAAACACUCGGCCAUAGAGUAAUCAAAGAAAAUCAAGCUCGUGCCCUAUUGCAAUGCAUCAACUACCUGACAGACAACAUAUCCUUCUUUGGAUUGUUCCUAUCGGCUGGAAGCCUAGAACAUCUCGAGCGAAUCUACAAUAAAAUUGAAUCUGGCCAUGCUGAAAUGUACAACUAUCUAUUGCAACAAUCCGCCCCACGAGAAUGUGCCAUGGCUGUUCACCGGUUCAUAAGAGCGCAUAAAAUAUCCAUCCUGCCAGAGCGAGCGCUUAAUUUAUUGUGCGCUCAAAACUACGGCAUCCCUCAGCGUUUAGUGGCACUGGAUGCACUUAAUCUUCUGCUCCACGAAUCGUCCGGCAUGAGAUGGCAGUUUGCACGUGCUUACCUUCUGAUGAUGCAGCAACUAACUUUACGGGGAUAUCUCACUCCGCACGAGAUUCGGAUCGUUAUCAGCCCAUACCUGGCGGUUCCAGCUAUAUUUCCCGGACGAAGCUCGCUACAAAACGUAACUUCGAAAUCUGCAACGCUUCUGGAGAUGUUCCUCAAUGCACACCUGUUGGAUGAUCCGCAGUCACUUUCCGCGGAGCUUUCCAAAGAAACCAUCAAAUUUAAGCUACGAUUGCGACGGAUGAUUCCUCCGUGAUUUGCAUGCUAUGACAAAUGAUUGGAGCAGCACGAGGAAUGUUAUCUGAUUUACUAUCUGGUUGUUUUAAUGAUAAAAUCUUUCCAGUACAUACACGUAGAUUUGACCGACAUUCUUCUGCCUUGACACAUUUCAAAGUGAGUCACUUGAAAAAUAAUAAUAAUCAACCUGCUUUUAAAAGUGCCAUGACUUCCAUGCGAACGACGGGAAACACCUUCACCCUCACUCUCUCUAGUCAAUGAACGGUUUAUUGAAGUUUUGCAAACAAUAUCUCGAUACAUCCAACUGAUAAGCGCGUAUUGUUAAAUAAACCCUCUUUCAAUGGUGUUUUAAGUGUCAAUCCUUAUUACUAAACGAAACUCACUCAUUCCGAAGACAGUUGUUCAAUCGGUUGUAGUUUGGGAACAUACUUUUUUUACAUUUACGUCGUCUAGCAUGGUUUUCAAAUUGUGUUGUGGUAGCAAAAGCUACAAUAUGGAGAAUACCCCAGCAGGAGAUGUGCCAAAAAUGACCACUACUAGCAGUUCAACGGUAAUUACACAGCCGGGCUUUAAAGCGAAGAAUCCAGAUGACACAUCAGUGGAAGCUUCUAGCAGGGACGACCAAGGAAGCUGAAAACAUGUGAAUUAAGUGCUAAGAAAUUUUUAAAUAACUCGUUUAUAAUAAAAUGUUUAAAUAUGUCGUUGGUAUCGUUAAA